rnacentral:rRNA from 1 species
CCUCGGAAUCCAGAAGAUGGGUUGUAGAUGCUAGCUGGUAUGAAUAGGGAUUUGGUCCUUGUUCGGCAUCUAUAGCCAGUGAAAUCCCUGAGCAGUGUGCUCACUUGGUAACGUGCAGACUCUUUUCAGGGAGGUCGAUAAGCGUUACCGAUCUCUCUUUCGAGAGAUUGAGCUUAAUUCGAGCAGCUACGCUCAGCACUGUAGUUUUAUUGCUGGCUAACGCUUUGCCUGUGCAUAGCAGCCUUAAUGACCGUAGCUUUAUUGGCGGCAGUAAAACAAAUCUUUUUGAGCAGAUAAUUUAGUAUACUUUCACGUUAGUGAAUAACUUAUCAGCUUAUGUGUUGGAUCGGUUGAUUCGUAGAUCGAUAAAAACGCAGCUAGCUGCGUUAUAUACCACGAAUUGCUUAAAAAUUGAGUGGUAAAAUUUUGAACGCAUAGCGCCACAGGGUUUACUCUGUGGCACGCCUGGUUCAGGGUUGUAUUAUCUACUACCGAAUGCCUGAUUCGGUUAGUCGAGCGGCUAUCUAUUCACGUAGAUACCCGUUCUAGUUCAGAAUUGAUCGCAACGUUUCUAUUUCUAUAGAUACGGAAGGCGUGAGUGAACACGACCACUGCAUUCGAAGCAGCUUGAUUGAGCUAAUGCUUUGAACGCACGCUAGUAAAGUGGUGAGUUUGCUCUAAUGCUUUGCAUUUGCAACCUGAGCUCAGACGUGAUUACCCGCUGAACUUAAAGCAUAU